rnacentral:rRNA from 1 species
UACGGGGGGGGCAAGCGUUGUUCGGAAUUACUGGGCGUAAAGGGCUCGUAGGCGGCCAACUAAGUCAGACGUGAAAUCCCUCGGCUUAACCGGGGAGCUGCGUCUGAUACUGGAUGGCUUGAGUUUGGGAGAGGGAUGCGGAAUUCCAGGUGUAGCGGUGAAAUGCGUAGAUAUCUGGAGGAACACCGGUGGCGAAGGUGGCAUCCUGGACCAACACUGACGCUGAGGAGCGAAAGCCAGGGGAGCAAACGGG